rnacentral:lncRNA from 1 species
AUUGGAGUAACAGCUGCUCCAAGUUUGCCAGUCAGGUGGUUGGUGACUUAGUUUAUUCAGAACUGAAAGUCUGAAAUCAAUAUUUUUAGUGCAGUUUUGGAGCUGUGUAGUGCCUAUUCUAGGUGGUUUUGAACCAAAGUUUCUGCAGCAAGUUUUAAGACCAUAUCUAGGAGAACAAACUUGUUUAAGCACUACUGGGUUGGUGCUACACAAAUUUGGGAGAGAAGUUAGCUCCAAGAUGGGCUGUCAGGUUGCUUUGACUGAAAUUUUUGUUCAGUUCACUGAAACCGAAAUUCAGUAAAAGGUACUAAUUUUGGAGCUCAUUUGUGGCUAAUCCAUUUGGUUUUGGGCUAAAUUUUCUGUAUCACAUUUGAAGACCAGAGUACAGUGAACAAGUUUUAUAUAGUGAGGUGGACUUGAUGCUGCACAAAACUGGGAGAAAAAGGUGUUCAAACUACCUCUGUCAGAUUGGUGCAGAUCAGGUCUGAUGCAGUGACUGUGGUUUUGGUUUAGUGUUUUCCCUAGAUUUUAGAGUUAAUUUGUGGUUGAUCCAAGGGGUAUAAGUCUAUGGCCUCUGUGGAGAUAAGUUAGAGGGUUAGUUGGUGAACAAAGUUCACCAAGAUUGAUUCCGUGAUGUUGCUUGGAAGUAGAAGAAAUGAAAGGGUGGAAGGAGGGGUUCUGUUAAGCUGUGGUAGUUCAGUGUUGGUCAAAAGGAAUCUGAAGAAGAUCACUUCCUCUCUAUUAGUGUUGCUCGAGUUUUGGAUAGAGAUCAAGUAGAGAUAAGUAACUGAAGAUCUAGUGGCCUCAGAUCUACAAAAAAAUAUCCAAAUUUUGACCUAUUUUGUGAAGCAGUGAAUGAGAGGGGGACCUCAUCUAAUGAAUCUUUAAUGGGGUGUGCUGGACAGCAGCAGUUCUAGUGGCUUCACCCCUUUAGAAAUAUCAACUUGGACUUGUUUGAGCUUGGCCACGGUGGAGUUCUUAUCUACUUUUGCUUCUGUCUGUAUCCAGUGAACCAGUGGGAUAUUUUGGGCUGUGAGCUUGACCAGAUACAAUGUUAUGGGCUGGAAUUGUAAACCUGUGUGGAGUAGGUGUCAAACAUGCAAGUAUGUCAGCCAUGCAGUGUUGGCACCCUGGUAUUAUCUCCUCACCGAGUUGUGGGCAAAGAUUAGGGACCCUUUUGCCUAUAUAUAUUCAGUGAAACCUGCCCUUGAUCAGUGCCCUUCGGUUUGGGUCAGUGGAACUUCACCUUGCUGUAGCAGAGUAACUCCAGCAGGUAGUGUCCACGUUGCUUGUUCAGUAAUCUUUGUUGGCCGAUGAAGCUCACACAAGUUAGUUCUUGAACUCUACCACUGUCUGUUGCUCUAAACUAGGUGUGAAAUUUGCUCAAAUAUAGGCUGUCAGGUUUCUGGAUCCCAGACUUAGUGCAUAAGGCUGAAACUAGGUUUUAGUGUGUUGAGCUCCAUUUUGGUGCUUCAUAAAAAUUGUUCUGUAUGUUUUCAACCCAGGGGUACUAUACCAAAGUAGUAGAGCUAUAUCUAAGGAAUAACUUUGGUUAUGUGAGCUUGGUCUGUUGCUUUGUAAAAAUUGGAGAAAAGGGUUGGCUAAAGUUGGUCUGUCAGGCUGGACACAUAACUGAAUUUUUAUUCAGUUCUGAAAACUGAAUUACAGCAGGAUGCCUAGUUUGGAAUUCAUUUGUGACUGAUUCGUGGGGUUUUGGAUUAAGGGUUCCAUAGCAAAGUUGUAGACCAUAGUAAAGUGAACAAGUUUUCUAAAGUGAGAUGGACCUGAUUUCACAUAAAUUUGGGAGUAAAAGUAGCCAAAAGGUGGACUGUCAGGUGUUAGAAUUCAGACUUAGAAUAAUAUUUAUGUCUGAAUUUGUGUGUUUUUAUUUAAUUUGGGUCCUUGUGGUUAUUAAUCCAAGAAGAAUUAGUGUAGAAGUGUUAUAGCAAAGUGAAAGACCAUGUUAUAAGGAACAAAUCUCCUUAAGUAAGUUAGGAAAUAACAGCUGUCCAAAACUGGACUGCCAGAGUGACUGUGACUGAAUUUUAUUCAGUUAGCUGAAAUAGCAGUUCAGUGUGGGUUAGUGCUUUGGAAAGGAGAUAAGUUUAUCUAGGAAAGAGAUAAAGUUGCUUAAGAAGUUUUAAGCUUUUGGAUGAGAUAUAAGUUGGAUUAAUUCCCUGGUUUACCUAAGUGAAUUCAAAUUGGUCACUUUAAUCGAGCGAUAAGAAAUAGGUGUAUUCUUGUCAUGUGCUUUAGUUGUAGUGUUUCUGUUCUCCACCUCUCUUUGUGAUAGUUUGCAUUACAUGGCAUUCAUUCUUAUAUAUAUACCUAUAUGGUUAUAUUUAGAAAACGGAGAAGAGGGUGAAGUGACUGAAGAAAAGACAUCACCACCUUUGGAAUCUCAGGCAGAGACUUGUCUCUACUUCGACAUCUGCGAGUCCGAGCCUGACUCACCUACUAACAAAGGCAAGCCCCGGUGCAUGCAACCCCUUCCUUGUGUUUUUAAAUACUUUUCGCACACUUUAAGUCUAGUGAAAUGUGCAUUAAGUUUAUAGGAGUUGCUUGAAACCCUUUGAUGCAUUACUUUCCUUGAUAUCCAUACCUUUAUAGAUACUUCUGGUGAGGUAUCAAAAUAUGAUUUACAAGAAUGCUUAGCCCUGCUUAGAUCUUGUGGAUAGAGGUUGUCCUUAGCCUAGCUCGAGAAAGGAUGACUUCUACCUGCAAGAAUAUUUUCAUUUGGAGCAAUGGUGGGAUCUUACUGCAAAGUUCCCUGUGAUGCUCUUUUCAUCCUAAGGAACAGACACAAUCCUAAGGAUGGAAAUACUUAAAUCGAGAUUUGGGCUAGGAACAGGUGAUGCUCCGCCCGGGUCAAUUAAGGAUUGGAUGCGUAUGUAGGCCUGUUGAUCAAGGACUAUCUUAUCUAGCCACAUGCCCUGAGAAUGGGACAGGGUAAGCUUGAACCCGGCUAUUCCAUACAUGAAAAGACAAUCGCGCACUGGGCGUGGAGAGAUGGCGAGAGUGGCACGUACCCUCCUGGCAACGGAUCGCCUAAAAGGGGUGGUGUACUCUCGGGUGGCGCGGACCUGUUCAUGCAGUGGAGGAUCCGUGGGAAUAGUAGACAUCAAGGUUUACGAGAAACAUAUGUCGUGUGGUUAGAAAUCCUCAGCUGAGUAAAUCGAUUCGGAUCGCCGUUAUAUCCCCGGACAGUGGAGACUUGAGCUCCGACCUACAACCUAAGUCAAGAUGUGAACACUAUGGAUAAAAAUGAUGUUGUAUUGAUGAGAUGAUGAAAUUAGACUAGAUGCAAACAGAGUCUAUUAAAUAUUUAAUCUGGCGUUAAAAUAUUGAAAGUAAGGACCCACUUUAGUAAGCUAUUUCUGCAAAAGUAUCUAAGUUGAUUCUUGCUAAAGCCUCUCCUUGACUCCUAUUUAUCCAGCAUACCCUUGAGAGUCUUUUCCUUAGUCGGGUAAGACUUGCUUAGUAAUUCCAUACUCAGGGUUUAUCUCUUUGUUGUUUUUAGGUGAGGAAGCGACAAAUUUUUGUUGCUUUUGCUCCAAGGUGGUACCAAAUGAGGAAAAACAAGACUGAAGUGCGGGAGGACUCGGUCCUCCACAUAGGAUCUUUUGUUUAUAGCUUAUCGGGAGGAGUUUGUGCCUCCCUUGGUUUGUAAAAUAUUACUACUCUGCACUUGCUUUUAGUUCUGGUCUGUAAUAAGUAACUUGAUCUUACAUUCUAUAUAAAUGUAAGUUUAUGUAAAAGCUUCCGCAUUUCUUUAUCUCCGAUGUUCUGUAAUGUCUGCAAGACGGGUGAAACGUUCCUGGUAAGGUAAGAAAGAAGAUACCGAACUUGUCGAGUGAUUCAGGAACAUCUACAGGGUUGUCUGAUGUCUGUUGGAUAAGGACAACUGUAGGUGGGCCUAAUUACUUGGGAGGUUCCGUCACAGCUGGUAUCGGAGCGUAGCCCUUCUUUGCAGAUAUUAUGAGGCAUCUUCAAAAGGAUUUUCUAAAAUUCUUACCUAGAAACUUUCUUCCUUUCUUACCUAAGUAUUCUGAAGAGUUUAUCUUAAAAGACCAGAUAGGAAGAGUGCAACGUAUAGAAGGAUGAAUCAACUAAGGUUGAUUCUGUAUUUACACAUGCAUCAUGUCAUACAAACUUUAAAUUAAACCCCCUAUAUAGCUACCUUGUUCAUACAUUUUUAGUAAGUAGAGUGUUCCGUUGCUCUUCUCUGAAGAUGAAUCAACAAGAAGCCCCUACCGGAGUUGGAGAGUUUCUACGAGAUUUUGGUGUUCCAGUGGUCCUGUGGCGACUACUUCAAGAAGUCGGAUAUAUCGAAACACCCAAGUACCAGUGGUCGCGCACUGUUCUUAGAGGACAACCAUGGUAUGAGGUGGUAGUGCGUAUUCCAAAACGUGCUAGAAAGCCAUCUUGGCCACAUUGGAUGUUCCAUGCUGAAGGAAUGACUCCUUGGGAGGGUGCUCAGGUAGCUGCCUUAGAGGCGCUAACAACCAUUUGUUACCAGAAAUGGGAAGAAAUACAAGCCACAUCUAUGAGGUUGUUCCCUGCAGUUGCUUUAAGUGACCCAUUGGUGUAUCAUCACCAGGCCCGAUUAUUGGAAAGCAUUCCUAUUGGGCAGGAUUCUGUAGAAUCGGAAUCUGCUCGAGUAUUGAUGGUCGUGCUAGAGUUGCAACUUACUCGAGGGCACAGUCGUCAAAAGUGGCAGCAGUUGUACACUGGGAGUUAUGCAGCAUUUAAGAUGAUGGAAAUGGCCAAGAAUAGGGCUUGUACCCAGGCACAAGAACGACUUGAGGAAACAAAGGUUCAAGCGAAACAGAUUAUUGGACUAGAGCAUCCGGUGACAGGACUUCAGACGCAACACCAAGCUGAUCAGAAUCGCAUUAAGGAGCUUGAGCAUCAGCUAGUUAAUGCUCAUUCUAAAUCAAAAGUUCUGAGUCAGCAACAAGAAGAAAUUCGCUUGGAUGUUAUUGCUGUUAGCGAAGACCUUAAGGAAACCCUAAGCUUCAUAAGCCAUCAAGAUCAGGCGAUCCAGGAAUUGAAUAGUGCUCAUCCAAUGGAAUUUCAAGUAGCACAACGGCUUGUCAACCAUCUGCUGCAAACAGUGCAUAGGCUCAAUGUUGCCUUUUAUCCUACUCCUGCACCAGCGGACUAAGGGUUCCUUGGAAGGAUGGCAACAAGCAUCUGGCAGGUGGUGUAGCUAGAGAAGAUGUAGUAGGUAACUGGGAGUGUAGCGAAGUAGAUCAAUGUAGUAAGGUAGGUGUAAGAUAGACCUGCUUGGUAAUAAAAACAGGUUAAACUUUGUUGGAAAGAGUUUUCCUGUUCCACCUGGAUCAUGUAACAUGCGAGCUUUUCUAUGACUAUGGUGUAAGAAACGACUGCCUGUUUCAGAAGCAACUUUUAAUAUCUAUAGCCGUUGUCGAAUCCCAAGAGUUAAAAUGGCUAUUCCUUUGGAUAGUCCCUGUGGAUGCACGUGUGCGGAUAAAUGACUUAGCACACGCUGAGACCAUAAUUUCUAAUUAUGUUUCGUGAUGAAAUGGUAUCACCUGAUUUCCCAUGUGAGUUUGGAUAAAUGGAUAGACUUUAUCCAAAUUAGAUGCAACAUCUUGGAUAAAACACAGAAAGAUAUCAAGUUUUACGGAGUACAGUGGAACUACCCCAUAGAAGAUGAAGCCAUGUAGAUGGUCAGAGGGAUAUUUAGAAGACAAAGCCCUUGCCCUAAGUUUUGAGUUUUUGGAAAACCUUAAGGUUUGCGAAUUUUAAACCAACAGUGGCACACCCCCUGUUUGGUAGGAGAAAUUGGGAAAUAAGUUUGUGACACAUUUCCUUUUCCAUUACUAAGCCUGGACUUUUAAAUCUCGGGACGAGAUUUCUUUUAGGGGGGAAGGCUGUAACACCCCUGGUGUUACGUAAACUAAAACUCUGACAUGUCAUCAUAAGCAUCUGCAUUAAUGUGCUUGUUACACCUAGAAUGCAUUUACUAGGUUAAAACUUUACAAAAAGUGUGAUGUUGUGUGUUGAGUAGUGGACUUAGUUAAGGACCUGUUUUAAGCAAAAUGAGGGAAGAUCAUCUCUUGAGCAAGUAACAAAUUGGCUUGGGGUCUUAAAUGUUAAAGGUAAGUCUUAGAGCCUAGAGUAGCCUUGUUUUGGAAUGAUGGUCAAGUGGAAGAAGCACUUAAGAAGCUAGAAUAACUCCAAACCUUAACUUGAGCUUUGCUUGGAAUAGAUGGUUAAGUAAAGGAAAUUCUAAACCAGGACAUUUUGGAUAUGAGCUAUGUGUAUCAAAGAUUGGAUCUUGAGCUAGAGUGUAACUUUGCUCUAGGUGGAGGGAUCAAAGGGAUGAAUCCCUAGAAGAAGCUGAAACACAAAUGAAACUCAUUUGAAACCCUAAAACUAGCCCAAAAGGGGAAUUCAAGAUCUAGAAGGAUUUAGCUAAAAGUCCAUAUAUCAAAGUUGUAGAGCUUGGAAAAGUGGAUAUAUUUCUUAUUUGGAGAUUCAUAAGUUGUGUGGAAGAAUUUGGAGUUAAGUACAAAAAUUCAGUUUUGGGUUCAUUUUGGAAUUGCUGAAAAUAAUAUAAACUAGACAACUUUGGACCCUUGUAACUUCUGAUCUAUAACCAUUUUGAAGAUGAUCAUUAUAACAAAGUCAUAGAGCUACAUGAGGAGUACAAGUUUGGUUAAGUCACCUAGCCCUAACACUCUAUGGAACUUGGAGAAAAACUAGUCCAAAGUAGAGCUGUCAGAAAUUGUAGAUUUCAGACUUAGUGAAAUUCAAAUUCUGAAUUUCAGCAAUUGGAGCAAACUUUGGGCUAUUGUAGUUUGGAAUCCAAGAGGUUUUAGUUAAUGGUUACUAUAUCAAACUUGUAGAGGAACUAUAGGAGUAUAAACUUUAUUAAGCAACUUGCCCCUAUAAACAUUUGGAACCCAGGAAAAAGAGUGGUUCCAAGUGGUGCUGCUGUAUUUCUGAAUUUUCAGAUUGGAAACAGUAACUGAAACUGAAUUUCAGUGUUUUGAUAGCAGUUUUGAAGCCUAUUUGUGGCUGUUCUAUAAUAUUUUGUGCUAUGGUAUUUAUAGAGAAGUUGAAGCCCAUAUGAUGGUGAACAAGUUUCUUUAAGUGACUUUGGCUUGUUCCCACAUAAAAAGUGGAUAAAAAUGCCCCCAAAGAUCAGCUGCUAGGCAUUCCUAUAACUGAAUUUGGUUCAGUUCUGAAAUCUGAAAUUUGUUGUAUGGUGCCAAGUUUGGAGCCCUUUUGUGGUUGUUCUAUAAGGUUUUGGACUGAGGUUUCUAUAGAAGAAUUGAAGACCAUAUAUUGGUGAACAACUUCUUUAAAGGUAAUGGACAUGAUCCUAUACGAAAAUUGGAGUAACAGCUGCUCCAAGUUUGCCAGUCAGGUGGUUGGUGACUUAGUUUAUUCAGAACUGAAAGUCUGAAAUCAAUGUUUUUAGUGCAGUUUUGGAGCUGUGUAGUGCCUAUUCUAGGUGGUUUUGAACCAAAGUUUCUGCAGCAAGUUUUAAGACCAUAUCUAGGAGAACAAACUUGUUUAAGCACUACUGGGUUGGUGCUACACAAAUUUGGGAGAGAAGUUAGCUCCAAGAUGGGCUGUCAGGUUGCUUUGACUGAAAUUUUUGUUCAGUUCACUGAAACCGAAAUUCAGUAAAAGGUACUAAUUUUGGAGCUCAUUUGUGGCUAAUCCAUUUGGUUUUAGGCUAAAUUUUCUGUAUCACAUUUGAAGACCAGAGUACAGUGAA